rnacentral:misc_RNA from 1 species
GAUGAAGAACGCAGAGAAAUGCGAUAAGUAAUGUGAAUUGCAGAAUUCAGUGAAUCAUCGAAUCUUUGAACGCACAUUGCGCCCGCCAGUAUUCUGGCGGGCAUGCCUGUUCGAGCGUCAUUACAACCCUCAGGCCCCCGGGCCUGGCGUUGGGGAUCGGCAGAAGCCCCCUGUGGGCACACGCCGUCCCUCAAAUACAGUGGCGGUCCCGCCGCAGCUUCCAUUGCGUAGUAGCUAACACCUCGCAACUGGAGAGCGGCGCGGCCAUGCCGUAAAACACCCAACUUCUGAAUGUUGACCUCGAAUCAGGUAGGAAUACCCGCUGAACUUAAGCAUAUCAAUAAGCGGAGGA